GCUGAGAGCUGAGGCAGGAAGGAUCACUUGAACCCAGGAGCUGUGGACUGUAGUGUGCUAUACUAUUCGGGUGUCUGCACUAAGUUCGCCAUCAAUAUGGUGACUUCCCAAGAGUGAGGGGCCACCAGGUUGCCUAAGGAGGGGUGAACUGGCCCAAGUCAGAAACUGAGCAGGUCAAAACUCCCGUGCAGCGCUGGGCGCAGUGGCUUACACCUGUAAUCCCAGCACUUU
rnacentral:sRNA from 1 species